rnacentral:lncRNA from 1 species
UCACCCCUGUAGAAGGGGGAAUAAGGGACACUGCCAGUUUGAAGCAGUUACCCCAGAAGAGAAUCAAAGGGAAAUGAAGAGCUGGCAAUCCUGGUGGAGGGGUUGUGACCAUCAAACAGAACAUGAGCAAGAUUACUGUUACUUCGUAGGUGCCUUUCUCCAAAAGGUAUUUAAAAUAUCUCACCAAAAAAUAUUUGAUGAACAAUCUCCAAAACUGAUUGUGUUAUUGCAAAUGACAAAAAGUGUUCCUUCCAGAUUAACCAGGAUGAAGAGGAGGAGGAGGAGGAGGAGGAGGAUUAA